rnacentral:rRNA from 1 species
UACGUAGGGGGCGAGCGUUGUCCGGAUUUAUUGGGCGUAAAGAGCGUGUAGGCGGCCAGGUAGGUCUGCUGUGAAAACUCGAGGCUCAACCUCGAGACGUCGGCGGAAACCAUCUGGCUAGAGUCCGGAAGAGGAGAGUGGAAUUCCUGGUGUAGCGGUGAAAUGACGCAGAUAUCAGGAAGAACACCCGUGGCGAAGGCGGCGUCUCUGGGACGGUACUGACGCUGAGACGCGAAAGCGUGGGGAGCGAACAGG